rnacentral:tmRNA from 1 species
GGGGGCGAAAGGCUUCGACCGGAUGGGUAGAGAGAUAGGUUGCAUGUCCAGGACGUCGGUUGGCCUGGCUAAUCAUCCGACACAAAUUUAAUUGGCAACUACCAAUUAAGAAUGGCUGCCUAAAUAGGCACCCGUCCACCGGGAUCGCUCCUGCCGAUCUCGCUUGGGCGUCAACUUGCGGGAUCGCUUUGAAGGGCCGUUUGUCCUGACGAAGUUAAAAACUUACAAACUGGCUGAACUGAAAGCCUGUUGAUCGGCGUGCGGUAAGGCGACAUUUGAAAUGACCAACUAAACAUGUAGAUGCCUGUCUUGAAACAUUUCGGGACGCGGGUUCGAAUCCCGCCGCCUCCAAUU